GUGAACGCUGGCGGUAGGCCUAACACAUGCAAGUCGCACGGCAGCACAGUAAGAGCUUGCUCUUACGGGUGGCGAGUGGCGGACGGGUGAGGAAUACAUCGGAAUCUACUUUUUCGUGGGGGAUAACGUAGGGAGACUUACGCUAAUACCGCAUACGACCUACGGGUGAAAGCAGGGGAUCUUCGGACCUUGCGCGAUUGAAUGAGCCGAUGUCGGAUUAGCUAGUUGGCGGGGUAAAGGCCCACCAAGGCGACGAUCCGUAGCUGGUCUGAGAGGAUGAUCAGCCACACUGGAACUGAGACACGGUCCAGACUCCUACGGGAGGCAGCAGUGGGGAAUAUUGGACAAUGGGCGCAAGCCUGAUCCAGCCAUACCGCGUGGGUGAAGAAGGCCUUCGGGUUGUAAAGCCCUUUUGUUGGGAAAGAAAAGCAGCAGGUUAAUACCCCGCUGUUCUGACGGUACCCAAAGAAUAAGCACCGGCUAACUUCGU
rnacentral:rRNA from 1 species